rnacentral:rRNA from 1 species
GACGAACGCUGGCGGCGUGCUUAACACAUGCAAGUCGAACGCUGAAGCUCAGCUUUUGUUGGGUGGAUGAGUGGCGAACGGGUGAGUAACACGUGAGUAACCUGCCCCCUUCUUUGGGAUAACGCCCGGAAACGGGUGCUAAUACUGGAUAUUCACUGGUCUUCGCAUGGGGGUUGGUGGAAAGGGUUUUUCCGGUGGGGGAUGGGCUCGCGGCCUAUCAGCUUGUUGGUGGGGUGAUGGCCUACCAAGGCUUUGACGGGUAGCCGGCCUGAGAGGGUGACCGGUCACAUUGGGACUGAGAUACGGCCCAGACUCCUACGGGAGGCAGCAGUGGGGAAUAUUGCACAAUGGGCGCAAGCCUGAUGCAGCGACGCCGCGUGAGGGAUGGAGGCCUUCGGGUUGUGAACCUCUUUCGCUCAUGGUCAAGCCGCAACAAUGGUUGUGGUGAGGGUAGUGGGUAAAGAAGCGCCGGCUAACUACGUG